rnacentral:rRNA from 1 species
CGCCCGAAUCGGAUGAUCUAAGCCAUGCGAGUCAUUGUAGCAAUACAGGCAGACGGCUCAGUAACGCGUAGUCAACCUACCCUAUGGACGGGAAUAACCUCGGGAAACUGAGAAUAAUGCCCGAUAGAACAUUAUUCCUGGAAUGGUUUAUGUUCCAAAUGAUUUAUCGCCGUAGGAUGGGACUGCGGCCUAUCAGUUUGUUGGUGAGGUAAUGGCCCACCAAGACUAUUACAGGUACGGGCUCUGAGAGGAGUGGCCCGGAGAUGGGUACUGAGACACGGACCCAGGCCCUAUGGGGCGCAGCAGGCGAGAAAACUUUGCAAUGUGCGAAAGCACGACAAGGUUAAUCCGAGUGGUUUCUGCUAAAGGAACCUUUUGUCGGUCCUAGAAACACCGAUGAAUAAGGGGUGGGCAAGUUCUGGUGUCAGCCGCCGCGGUAAAACCAGCACCUCAAGUUGUCAGGAUGAUUAUUGGGCCUAAAGCAUCCGUAGCCGGCUCUGUUAGUUUUCGGUUAAAUCUGUGCGCUCAACGUACAGGCUGCCGGGAAUACUGCAGAGCUAGGGAGUGGGAGAGGUAGACGGUACUCGGUAGGAAGGGGUAAAAUCCUUUGAUCUAUUGAUGACCACCUGUGGCGAAGGCGGUCUACCAGAACACGUCCGACGGUGAGGGAUGAAAGCUGGGGGAGCCAACCGGAUUAGAUACCCGGGUAGUCCCAGCUGUAAACUAUGCAAACUCAGUGAUGCAUUGGCUUGUGGCCAAUGCAGUGCUGCAGGGAAGCCGUUAAGUUUGCCGCCUGGGAAGUACGUACGCAAGUAUGAAACUCAAAUGAAUUGACGGAAU